rnacentral:rRNA from 1 species
CAUUAUUAUCCGCCCGAGAACUACAAGCAAGCAGCUAAAAACUCAAAAGACUUGGCGGUGCUCUACAUCCCCCUAGAGGAGCCUGUUCUAUAAUCGAUAAUCCACGAUUCACCUCACCACUUCUCGCCUAUUCCGUCUAUAUACCGCCGUCGUAAACUCACCCCCUGAGGGACAAACAGUGAGUCCAAUGACACUAACCCCCGCCAAUACGUCAGGUCAAGGUGUAGCUAAUGAAGUGGGAAGAAAUGGGCUACAUUUUCUAACAUAGAACAUACGGAAAAUCACUUAUGAAAUAUGAUCAGAAGGAGGAUUUAGUAGUAAAAAGAAAACAGCAAGUUCUUUUUAACACGGUCCUAGAGCGCGUACACACCGCCCGUCAC